UAAUGUUACCUAUGUUAUAUACAAGUAAAGUUGCUUGUAUACAAAUGGUGACGUAUUUCUGCUUUCCACAUAACGUUUGGUCAGCAAGUCACAACAGCUAUCUCCUUAAGUCAGGUUGCUGGCAACUUUCUUUUUCAUCUUGAGGGACAAAUGGGGUGAAGAAUUGACGAACAGAAACCAGUUGCUCAAAACCCUGGUUAAAUUAAACCACUGGUUAAGCUAACCACUGGUUAAAUUUACUAUCCACUAAGUAACUAACCACUGGUCAAAAUUCUGUUACUGAAAGUGAGUUUAGCCCCAGGGCAUAGAAUAGAAUAUGAUUUAUUUCCAAAUUAGGGCCCUCUCGGGCAUACGGCAUACAUGAUUGUUAACAUUUCAAUGUGCAAUGUUUAUUUUUUUUUUUAAAAUGAUGAUAAAAAGAAAAGAACAAAACAAGAGCAAAAUAUGCACUGUUAGUAUGAGCAAUGUUCAUACAUGAGACAUUUUGAACAUGAUAAUACUUAUUUGUAUUACAUGUAAGUACCACCGUGUAUCUUAAUGCAAAACAGUCAGAAAUACACACAGAAAAAAUAAAAUAAAAAAUGUAUACAUGUACAUAACAACACUACAUGUAAUAAUAGUAAAGGUAGUAUAAGUACAUAUGAUUAACUCCACUGUAAUGUAAAAGAUACCACGGGACGGUGCAUUGGUACUAGGUCAACAUGUCAUGUUUAUAAUGAGUGCAUAUGUGCAAUAUGCAUGGUUUCAUAUGGUUCACACAUAAUAUACAGUAAUACUAGUAGUAUGAGCUUAGACAAUGUACAUAACAUGAGACAUAACUUGAUGUAAUAUAUGUAAGUACCACCGUGUAUCCUAAUGCAAAACAGUCAGAAAUGCACACAGGAAGAAAAUAAUAACAAUAUAUGCAAUGACACAUAAUAAUAGUAAAAGGCACGUAGUACAAGUACAUAUGAUUGACUGUAAUGCAAAAGAUACCACGGGACGGUGCAUUGGUACUAAGUCAACAUGUCAUGUUUACAAUGAGUGCAUAAUUAUGUAUAAACAUAUUGGUUUGAACUUUCACAUGCUUCAUUUUAUAUUGCUUCUUUAAUCAAAUCGCAAACGGCUACAAGUACAUCAGUAUUUUCACAAUUGAGUAACCAUAUUAAUCUAUUCAUGUUGUCAAGACUGGAAAAGUGUUCACAUUGUUGUUUUAUAAUUCUAUACAUGUUCUGCCUGAGUGAGUUAUAAGUUGAACAUUUAAAAAUUUGAUGAAUUUCAUCACCAAUUUUACAAGAAGAACACUUUGUACAAAAUCUUAAAUGUCUAGGGAUUCCUGAAUAACGACCUCGUUCUACUGGUAAAUUGUGCGCUGAUGUACGUAAUCUUGCAAGUGCUUUACCUUGUGCAGGUGGUAAAAGUGUUAAGUAGUUUUCAAAAACAAAAUUAGUUUUAAAAACAUAAGUUUCAAGUUUUCCAUAUUGUAAACUUCUGACAUAUCCCCAUUCUUUCAAAUGAUGAUGGCAUAACAAUUCCUUACAUUUUUUCUUAAAAAUUGAUAGGUUAUAUGAUUGCAAUAUGAUUGUUUCUAAUUCCAACAAUUCCAAAUAAGUUUUGUACGACACCAUACCAUGACUGCGAUUUUAAUGUACAAGCAUUAUGCUUACUUUGCAUGUAUGCAGCAUUUAGUAGAGGAAAAGAAGUACCCAGAUUUUCUAAUCUGCUUAAAUAUUUUAUUAUAUUUUUCACUACAUCAAAAUGUAGUGGAAACCUGCCAAGUUCGGAUAGUGUUGCAAAGUUUGAGCUUUUUCUAUGAAGACCUAGAAUAAAUUUACAGAAUUUCACAUGGAGGUUUUCACAUUUUAAUCUAGAGUAAAAAUCAUACAAGGAGAUAUCAUUGCGAUUGAAAAAAGAAGGGCGAUUAAAAAUUCCCCAAAUCUCACUGCCAUAGAGUAAAAUUGGCUUGAUUGUGUGAUCAAAGACAUGAAUGGAUGUUUUAAUGCUAGGUUGUAAUGAUAAAAAAUCUUUAUGUAAUUUGAAAUAUGCUUUCAUUGCCUUUUUGUACAGAUCCUCUUGAGCAUUAGAAAAAUCUCCAGCUGUAUUGAAAUAUGUUCCCAAAUAUCUGUAAGAGGGGACACACUGUAUUUCCCUUUUCUCCAAAAUAAAAUUUUGCUUGAGAAAUCUUCCUGCCUUGUUAAAGAUUAAAAUUUUAGUUUUAUCAAUAUUGACUUUCAACCACCAAUCAGAACAAAAUUUUUGCAAUUUAUCAAGGUUACAUUGUAAGCCAACUGCUGAAUGUGACAGUAAUAUUACAUCAUCUGCAUACAUUAAACAGUGUAUUAUUUUAUUGUUUAGAACUAUUGGGUCACUUGCAUCUUUGAAGUACUCUGGUAAGUCAUUGAUAAAUAUAUUAAACAAGUUGGGACUGAGGUUGUCUCCCUGUUUUACACCGAGUUUAAUUUGGAAAAAGUCUGUAUGAUGACUUUUUAUCUUAAUGCAUGAUUUACUAUUAUUGUACAUACUUUUAAUAAGCAUAUAAAAUUGGGUUCCAACACAAAAUUUGAGUAGUUUGUAUUUGAUACCCGAGUGUAUGACAGUAUCAAAUGCUUUUCUAAAAUCUAUAAAACAAGCAUAUACUCGCCCCUCUUUAUUAUGGCAAUAAGUUUCAAUGAUAUUUUUAAGAAUAAACAUGUGAUCUGAUGUCCUUGCAGAUUUUGUGAAACCAAUCUGGCAUUCAUUAAUUAUUUUAUGCUUUUCAAGAAAUCUGUCAAGCCUCCUAUUGAGGAUACUAUUUAAUAAUUUACUUAUUGCACUAGUUAUGGUUAUUCCACGAUAAUUGUUUGGGUCGUGAGCAUCGCCAGACUUAUGUAGUAAAGUUAUAAUACCAGAUGACCAUUGAUUAGGAUAAAUACCUCCCAAUAAACAGCUAUUUUAAAAAUAGUUUAUGCAAGCUAUCGAUAAGUGCAGUUUGUCCAUGUUUCAGCAUGUGAUUAGUUAUUCUAUCUAAUCCUGGAUUUUUGUUACAUUUUAAUUUGCAUAAUGUUUCAGAGAUUUCUGUUUUAGAAAUCCUAAAGUUUAAUUCAUUAAAACAUACUUUAGAUACAAGUUUAGAUACUUGUUCAUCCAAACUAGCAAUGCGAGAUUUGAAAGAAUCUGUAACAGUAUUUAACAUAAUAAAAUGGUAUAGCCAACCUUUAGAAGAUAUUUGAGAUCCUUUGUCAUUCACUUUCUCAUCUGAGGCAUACUAACCAACGGUUAAGUACAUUUAACCAGUGGUUAGUAUCCCAUCAUUCAACAAUGGUCGUAUGGACAUGUAAACAAUAAUGGCUACUGAAAAUGUUAAUGAAGCGGACAGAGAACUUUUCACCUAAUGAGACACUAUUCUUAGUUGUACAGGUUAUAUUAUGAAGUCAACCGAGACCGUUAACUCGAAAAGGAAAAAAAAAGGGGGGGGGGUAAGUUGAGAAUGUGAAAGAGAUGUACAGGAAGACUUGUUCGAAAGCAAAAGGAGAAGAAACUGUAUGCAGAAAACUCAAUGAAUAUAGACUGGAGGGGGUCCACCUCCUUUGUCACUCAACCCUGUCUCAUAGAAAAUUAUUUAGAUCCACCGGGAAUCAGUGAAUUAAUUCAUCGGGAUUUCACGAGGACUUGAGGAUGGAGGCCUUGAUAUUCACGGAAACCAAACAAUAUCUUACAAUGAAAACAUGGUGAGACGGCACAGCUGGGGCUCUAUGAGAUCUGGGAUGUACCUGCCUGAUUCUUUAGAAAAUUUUCAACUUCCUUUUUACUCUAUUUCUGUGAAAUCAUGAUUAAAAUGUCUCCAAACUCCCCGUUUCUUGUGUUAUGUGCUCAUGUUUACAUCAAAAAGCAAGCAAGGAGUCAUGUUUAACCACUGGUUAAAUGACUUAACCCACCUCUGCAGUUUGGUUAACUUUGGUCAAUAUUUAACCAUUGGUUAGGCAAAUUAACCACUGGUUAACCUUUGAGCAACAGAAUUUAACAAUUGGCUAAAAGUUAACCGGUGGACAAGGGAUUUAACCACUGGUUAAGAUUAACCAAGGUUUUGAGCAACUGGGUCCAGCAUUGGGUCACGUCCAACAAGAAUAUAUUUGUUUUAAUGGGAUGAUCCCAGGGCACUUGCCUAUCAGAAUAUUCUUGACAUAUGCAACAAGAAUAUAUCUGGUAUAGAGUAUAUUUAAAGCCAAACACUUGUAUGCAGGUGUUACUGUCUUAUGGCAGUAUCUAGUUACUGUAAAUUCCGGAAUAUACGCGAGGAAUUUGUUAUCGUGUAAUUUCGCGAGAGGCAUCACUCGCGAAAUAAAACUACUCACUUUUAAUUUUCUGGUGCUAAAAUGCAUGCAAAUACUCUUGAUUUAACAGACGACAUGCGAAUUCGAGUUCACGCGAUUUGACGUAUACGAACCAUUUCGCCAUAUUAAAAGUACUCGUGUAAAAUAAGAAAUCUACAGUAUUUACUGCCAUCAAGCGAUAUCACCAAUUCGAAAUGUUGGUAUCACCUAUUCAGAUUAUGAUUUUAAUUUCGCCUUUUCAACACCUUUUUUAAAAUAUCUUCUUCUUCUUUUAAUAAAAAUGUAUAUAUCUUCCUUCAAUAAUCUAGUUAAUAUACAUGUCCAUCUUUCAUUUAAAAGGCCUUUAAAUGAAAGCAAAUUGUAAAUUCCCUGCACACAAACGCAAUGAAGAGGAACUGUAUCUCGAAGUAGCAGACUUUGUUCCGUGGACAAUAAUCAUUCAUUUUGUUACUUUACUCAAGUACAUGUGCCACGUAUAAAAGCAUGCCAAGCAAAAUCGCUGUGUUUACCAAUCAAGAACUUCUUUCGGAAAGAAUUCUGUUGUUGGAGAAAUACCGAAGAACAGGUGUAUAUCUUUGCUGGUGAUAAAUGUGUUUAUUGGCGAUGUUCUAUGCCAAAAGUUGGCAAUGUACUUUGUACGUAUACUUUUGAAUUCAACGGGCAAAGUUUAGAUAAGGUGUUUAAUCUGCAAGGUUACACAACAGUAACUACACUCCCUCGGAUUUCUAUUAUCCUAUAAUUUUAAUAUCAUGCACCAGUGACAUGCUUAUUUAAAACCAGAUAUUACCAUAACAAAAAUAUGAAAUAUCAUUUCGAAGUAACGAGCUGAUAAAACGUAACGUAAA